AGAUCAUCGUAAUCAUCAGAUUAUCAUCAGCUCAACCACUUCAAUCCAUCAUACCUGCAAAACCUAAUCUCUAUCUCUACCAUCUCAAACCACCGAUUCCUACCAGAACAAAGAUCCGUGUCUUCUCAUCUGCCUUCGACGACUGCUCGUCUUCGCUGCCUCUAGAUUCUUCUUCUUCGUCCUCCCAUUCUUCAAGCUUCAGUUGGUGACCUCUAUCGAAGCCACCCGAGCUUCGAUUUCGAAGCAGGAAGGUUCAAUCCUCAAAGUAAAGUGCCCUCUGCUUCGAAAUCGAAGGGGAGAGGCUUCAAUGGAAGCCACUCUGCUUCGAAUCGAGGCGGAAAGGCUUCGACUGUGGCCUUCGUACUCUGAAAUCGAAGCUCGAGGUUAGAGUUUCUCAUGCUUUGAAGCUCGGGGAUUGAGGUUUUUGAUUAUGGUUAUCUACAGGAGAAUGAGGGGAAAGGGUGAGAAACAGAGGGUAACCGCGGGUUUGUUUGGACAGUUGGCAGCGAGGCACGGUUGGUAACCGCCCCUGGGGCGCGGUUAAGUAGCGUAUUUGUUCUCAAGCUUUUCAAAAAACUUUCAUUUUCACCAUUUUCGAAAUUUUAAGACCAUUUGAGAUAUUUGAGCGGAGGAAAAUUAUCUAAAAAUAUUUUGAAUUCAAAAAACACAUUUUAAUUGAGAAAACACAUCGACAUGAAUAUUUCUUGCUACUUAAGAAUAUUGAUUUAUGUGCCUUGAACCAUUGUCCUGUUGAAUAAAUUAUAUAAAUCAAAAGAUUUUUAAUUAAAGAAUAUUUAAUGUGCAUUUUUGUUAAAAAUACGAGUAAUUGUGUUUAAGAACAAGGUCUUCGGGGAGUGAGUGCUACAUUUCAAAAUUAGUUUUACACACGCGUUUUUAGAGAAUGAAAUAUUGCUAAUUAACCCAUAUUGUUUUAAAAAUAGACACUAAAUGUUGAAAUUAAGUACUUAGCAUUCGAGAACUUAUUUGUUUAAUAUCGAAAGUCCGUCUUUUGAUGUGUAAUCCACAUGUGCUUUUAUCCGCCCUCUAAUUUGAUACGCUCCCUGAUUAGUAGAUCUAGCAUGCGCCGGAACGAGGUGCUUCCAACAUAACUAAAGGGUAUUUGUAGAGAUCAUAGCAAAUCUCUAGUAGGAUAUUGUAAUAUGUAUCAAAUAUUCAAUUGCGUACAACAAGUAGAUAUACUUGACAAAUAUAUGGUUAGAGAUAGUAUAAGAUCUCAUUGAUAAAAUAUUCUAGAGAUACGUCAAGGAUAUCGAUAUAUGUAAAGGAGAUAUAGGUAGAAAAAUAUUCUUAAUAGGAUUUAGUUACCGAUUUGGGUGCAUCAAGAAGGGUCGAGGAUUCUAAAUCGAGCCCCGUGAAUAUGGUCAAUUUCUUGGCCCCCAAUAUAGCCCCCCAAUCCCAUGAGCUCGAGAGGUCGCUGGAAGUGGAUCAAUUCAUAACGGUUGUUAUUGCGUCGUAAGCGAUGUCUUGGUGCGAAGGUAGACUUUGUACCGCUUGUUCAGUCUUAUGAAAAGAAAAUAUGCCCUUGGUUAUCAUACGUUGUCGCUUCUGCGAAGAAAAACACGGUUCUUGGCUGUCGAACGUUAUUGCUUCCUCGAAGGAAAAUUUUGUCCUUGGUCUUUAGACAUUUAUGUUUCCCUGUAGGAAAGCUCCGCUGUUGGUUAUCGAGCGAUGUUGCUUCCGCGAAGGAACGCUCCGCUCUUGGUUAUCGAGCAUUGUUCGUCCCUUGGUAAUUGGAAGUUGUCCUGAGUUAUCGGACUCGUUUUAGCUUAGCCUUUGGUUAUUAGGCGUUGCCUCAUCCUUGGUUAUCGGAUGUUAUUAUCCCUUGGUCAUCGGGAUAUAGUCCUUGGUUUAUUGGGUUUUGCCCUUGGUUAUCGGGCAUGGUAGAGGCCCUUGGUUAUCAGGCAUAAUCAUUAUCAAAAGCGUUGCCCCCAGCUAAGGGAGAUGUUUAGGCCCAUCGCUUUUUUGUAAAGAGUUAGCGAACCAUAACACAAGUCUCGUAAUUCAAAUAAGUGUUCAUCAGUCACAAUAACUGUAAAGCAUUUAUCCCAAAAUAUCCCCAUAGAUUUAUCUUUAUUUUGUGGUGGGGCUUCACAGACCAAGUUGCUCAAUCUCUUGGAGGAUAGUUGCCUUUGGUUCAUCUCUUGAAGGAUAGUUAUCUUAUUUUCACUGGACCUGUCCUCAUGAAGUUCCUUUCUUUUUUCACCCACGCGCUCCUUCUUCUUCCAUAUCGAGAUGGACUCUUCCACGUUCAUGAACUUCUGUGCACGAGCAGAUGUGUCAGUGAAACUGCUUGGUAGGGUGAUGACCAAGCUCUUUGCGAAGCCCUCAUUCCUCAAGCCCCUUUGGAAGGAGGCUAUUGCUUCGCAUUGUGUUAACCCUUCCACCUCAAUUGAGGUCUCGAAAAACCGAUCAUACCAGUCACAAAGGGAUUCUUUGUUCCUUUGCUCCAUAGAAAACAGCUCAACAAUGUUCAUCUUCACCUGUAGCAUGAUCGCAAACCUUUAUAGGAAUAAUUAUUUUAGUUGCCUAAAACUUGUUAGUGAGCCAGGUUGUAAAGAGUGAAACCAAUAUGUAAUGACUCCAAUAAGAGUUCCUGCGAACAAGAGGCAUUUCACUUGUUUGGACACUCGUCUUCCCGUUAGAGAAGUUGUGUGGCAGUGAACGUGGUUUACCGGGUCUGUCUUCCCAUCAUACAAAGUGAUCUGAGGAGGAGUAAACUUGUGGGGCACUUCAGCGUGAAGAAUCUCCCUGUAUAAGAGCGGCUCAAAAUACUCUUCGAUAGGGGGAAACCCAUCACAUUGACUACCUGUUUCGCAGCCGGUCCAAGGGGAAUUGCGAUAAAUGAAGGCAUGUCACUGGUAACUUUUUAGAGUCCCUUUUUCACGAGGUGAUUUAGGAUGAUGCUUGGAGGAGACAACAUUAUCCUCUUUUUGGUUCAACCUUCGGUUAAUAGCCGCAUGGUUCUUCGAGCCAGCCUGAGUGCCAUGAGAGGUCGUGCGGCCAUCGAUGAUUUCUUCCACCACUUGCUCGAGCAUCAGGUGCCAGUUGAUCCAGUCGGACCAUGCUUAGAUCGUGCUGUGGCGGUGGUGGAUCUUGACGAGUCGACUGCUUUGGGUUGUUAGUUGUAGCCCGCCGCGGAGGGUUUGAAGCCUCCGAGACUUGUCAUUUUCGACUAGAGAGUUUGUUGCGCUUCUAGUUAGAAUAAUUGUUUCUUCUCAGUGUGAUGGAAAAUAGCCGAUGCAAAAAUCAGGUGUGUGAAAUGAACCCAAUUCGAAAUCUUAGCCUAUUACAUUUAUCCAUCUAUUAUUUAGGAAUUAUCUCAAUAAAUUCUUAGAAAAGUUAAAUGGGAAAAAAGAGAAAAAAAGAAUAAGGAAGAAUUAUUAGAUAGAAGAAGAUGAACAACCAUGCAUCGACAUCCCUUCUUCUUCCUAAGCAACCAUUAGCAAAAUCAAAUCUCCCAUUAAACGAAUCAAAAUCUAAGGGAAGAUAUAAAUUAUUGUAUUCUAAAGGAGAUAAUUUCGACUAAAAAUAAUGAAGACUAAAACACAAUGCAAUCGCUUUCCAAAUAGAGAGAUGGAAUUUAAUUAGAACGGGUAAAGGAGAUAAUCAACUCACCUGAAAGCACCAUAAGAAAAAAUUGAGAAGCAUGAUGAAAAGUUUGAAAUCUACUUCUGAAUUUUCAUAUAUGUAUAAAUUUUGAGACGAAAUUCUUUGCAUUAAAGAUGAUGCACUUUCACAAAUACAUAUGUAUAAUACAUAGAACAAGAUAUCUACAAGUCAAAUUAUCGCUUCGAUCCAAAAAGAAGAGGAAGGAGAGAUGUGGCACUUGUUCAUCUUACUUUUCUUCUUCCUUUAUUUUUUUUUUAUUUUUUUUUACUUUUUUUCCUCUUCUUAAAUUAUUUAUUACUAAGAAAUUGUUAAGAUAAAUUGAAAAAAGAGAGGGAUGAAUGUUACCCGUUAAGAGUUUCACCAGUUUCAAUUAUUCACUUUGGUUCAAUGGGAGGAAAUUGAAAUAGAAAAUCGAUGAUGUGUCGUGAACAUCGCAUCCAAGGUAAUCCAACUCAGCAUAUUUAACGAAAAAGUUGACGGAAGGACAAAACAUAAAAUAAACAUAAGGUAAACGACGAAAACAACAAAAAAAGGGGGGAAAUGACACAAAUGGUAUGAAUUUUGUGUCAAUUAUAGCAUUUCCAUCCAAUUCCGUCAAAAAUCUCUGUUAAGUUCUAGUGUGACACUUUUGCUACCAUACUACUGCAAAAGUGGAGCUUAGCUGGCAAUCGAUGAGCCCCAACAUUGGCCUAAAACCCCUAUUUCCCUCCAAACUGCAAUCCCAUCUUCUCCGCCCCUCUUCUUAAUGAAUGGAGGAGCAAAACUCUAAUUGCACAAGCUCCGAUCAAGUUCUUAUUAUCUUCAACCAAAGCGUGGCUUAAUAAAGCACAAGCCACGAUUGUCGGCAAUUAGAACUUGAUUUUCGGCAUAAUUCUUGGUAAGCAUCCUCAGCUUGGCUACAGCAAAUUGCUUCAUGUUGAUGGACGAUGACUACAGUCUAUCAAUGCAGAUAUUGACUAUCGGCUAAAGAUCCACCGGCAAGAUGCGCUUUAUAAUAUUCGUUGAGAAGCUCUCCCUCCAUAGAAACCCCAUGCAUGGCUCAGGCUCCGAAUUUUGGGCCUGGUUCUCUCGACCCUGCAUGUUCUUCGAUGAUAGCAGGAUAGCGAGUAGUUCUAGCUCCUUGUAGAUGUCGUUAUAACAUGUUGAGAAGUCGCCGAAUGCCUGUGAGAGCUCUAGGAAUUCCUACAAGGGGGGGGGGUCAUCUUCACCAAGGGGUUGAGCUUGUUUUACUUGUCUGCGAGCUGACCGAGCCGUAUAUCCACCACAGAGUCGGUCACUUUAUCGGCGAUGAACUCGAACCUGUUCUUGUCCUUGAAGAGGUCGAACCAAACAGUCCGUGUUGAUCAACUGACGUUGCAUUGGACUUUCCCGACGGAGGGAGAGUAGGCCUUUGACAGGGGAAAGUGAGCCGAGCUAGAGUGGGCAUUUUCGAUAGACACUAUCUCGAAGUGAAAAAGUCAAAGCGAAUCACUCAAUGGAGGCGUUGAAGAUGUGAUAGCGACGGUUUUAAAGCUCUUAGUUGUUUUAGUGGAGGUUCAAUACAUGGCGGAGAGAGCGAUGAGGAGAAAGAAGGAGUGGAGAACGAGUAAGAUGGAUUGUUAGAGGGAAAUAGGGGCUUCGGCUUAAUGCUGGGGCUCACCAAUUGCCAGCUAAGCUUCACGUUUGAAGUGGUGGGCCAACAAAAGUGCCACGCUAGCACUUAACGGAGCUUUUUGACAUAAUUGGAUGGAAAUGCAAGAAUUGUCACAAAAUUCAUACCUUGCCUGUUUGUGUAAUUUUAUCUUCUCACGUACUAGAUGUUGCACAAAGUGAAAACGACAUGCCUAUUUGUGUCAUUAACAAAAAAAAAAAAGAAAAAGAAAAAGAAAAAAAUGAUGAAAACAUAAAAGUGAUCAAACGAAGACAAACAAAAGAGAAAACUAUCAAUUUGGUCAUUGAAAGAUCAUAGUAGCAUCAAUUUGGUUAUACUAAGAAUUUUGCCAUCAAUAUAGUCCUCCAAAAAUCAUUCUGUCGAACAAAUUAGUCCUCCGUUAGAAAGAUCGUUAGAAUCGCCAUAACUCCGUCAAUAAUUUUUAAAAAUAAAAAAUGUUUUUUUAAGAUAGAAGGAGGGGUAAACCUCAUGGCGCCUUCUCACUAGCCACAUCCCCCAUGGGAGGUCACUAGAGAUAGCACCCUGUCUCCGGCAGUAUCAGUUGAAAUAUUACCAAUCUCAAUUAAGAGGGAAUUGCUGAGCAAGUAGAUGAGUCUAAGGCUCGCGGCAAACAUGGAGCACUCCAUCAACUAGCGUAUUCUUGUAAACUAGGCCGUUCGAGGACAAGUCCUCCUCUUCAAGCUCUAGGGGACUACUAAAUGCCAUACCUUUCUUGCUAGUACGAGCUGAAGCUCGAUACCUUGGCUGCCCACGGUGAAUUUUGGAAAUGGGUAGGUUGAAGGAGGUUGCGGAGGGGUAAAGUUGAGUUUCAAUAUGAGCUUGGUUGAAAUUGGAGAAAUGGGUAGAUGGAGAAAGAGUGGAGAAUGAAGGGGUGGGGGCUUGAAGAGAAGGGUAGUAGGUUCAAUUUCAUGGCAACGGGGCAUUCGCCCAUGGGGGAUGUGGCCGGCGGGAGAAUUAUUUUUACGUUUUAUUUUUCUAGAAGUUAUUGACGGAGUUAUGACGAUUUUAACGAGCUUUUUAAUGGAGGACUAAUUUGUCCGACAGUAUAAUCUUUGGAGGACUAUAUUGGUGAUAAAAAUUUUUGAAGGAUAUAAUAUAAUUUUUCGAGGACCAAAUUGAUGGUUAACUAAAAAAGAAAUUAAUCAAACUUCUCUCUCUUCUCCAUUCUGUUCUGAUCUCUCUCAAACGUCAUCCGACUUCCGCUGCUUGCCCAUCGACCUCAAAAUUCAAACCCCCACGCUCGCUGUCACCUCAGGCUCAGGUCGCCGCCUCAACACCGACAACCGUCAUCACCGUCCCUCAUCCUCUUUCUCUCUUCCUCGCCUCACCGAGCAGGCCCCGCCCCGGCGAUACGAGCACCAUCCCGUCCGUAGUCUCUUCCUCCUCACUCAAACCGUCCCUUCGUCUCCCUCCCUCACCUCCUCACCGCCCACGGUCAGGUUUGUGACCGGCUUGGUGCAUGGUCUCCAUUAUCUGUCUCGGUGAAAGGCCUGCUAUGAGAGUAUGGGGGAAGCAGACCAGAGCGAGAAACUCGAGUUUAAGUGGUGUAAGAAGAGAGGAGUUGGUGGGAAGAACAAAGAGGUCCAGUUCUAUGAAUCCUUCAAUUUCGAUGGCGUAGAGUACACCCUUUAUGAUUCCGUAUAUCUUUACAAGGAAUCAGAGCCGGAGCCAUUUAUUGGGAAACUUAUAAAGAUAUGGGAGAACCCAGAUAAGUCUAAGAGAGUAAAGGUCCUAUGGUUUUUCCGCCCUUGUGAGAUUCAAAAUUACCUCGGAGCUGAAAGGGUGCCUGAGAACGAAUUGUUUCUCGCAUCCGGCGAAGGAAAGGGCCUUGCAAAUGUUAAUCCACUGGAAGCGAUUGCUGGAAAAUGUAAUGUUAUUUGCAUUUCGAAGGAUGAAAGAAACUCCCAACCAUCUGAUGAGGAACUUCACAUGGCUGAAUUUGUAUUCAGUCGAACCUUUGAUGUUGGCCAACUGAAGAUAUCAGACGAGAUAAAUGACAGAAUUGCUGGAAUAGAAGCAAAGUUUAUAUUUAAUAAAGCCGGGAGUCACAAGUUUGAGGGCAUUGUGAAAGAAAAUCCGAUCAUCAUAGAGGACAAGAAAGAGGAUAGCCGAAAUGUUGUAGUGACUGAUGAGUCCACAAUCUCAACGAAGCUCAUCUCAACUGAUGAAAGGAGAGAUAUGGAAGAACAUGAGAAAUGUGAGGAUGGUUUGCGAGAUGCAUGUUUGGAUUCUAAAUUGGCGAAAGAUAGAUCUUCAAGUAAACAAAUCUCGCCAAGGAUUAAGGCAGAUUUAGAUGGAAGCAAGGGCAAAUUUGCUGUCGGUCUUGAUAAUAAGGCCGGAGUUGAGGAACAAGUAAGAUCGUUGGAGGACCUUGAUGAUGUCGAAAGACCAUUGAAGAAAGUCAAGCUUCAUGUUUCUACGUCAAAGGGCAAGGAGAAGGACAAUGUUAUGGUUUCAAAAACCAAGAAUGAUGGCAAGGAAAAAGCUUCAAGGGAAGCCUCCAUUACGCCAAGAAGUAAAUCCUUACAUUUGAGUGGAUCAGUUGAGAGAGAUAUACAACCAUCUACUAAGAAGUCCCAACAGAAGUGGAGGCUUUCCAAUGCCAAGUUGGCUAAGCCCUCCGCUAAGAAUACUGUUAGUGAGGAGGACAACGUUGAUUACUGGACAAAGGAAGUUACUCGACGACCCGAUGACAAUAAGAACAAGUGGUUCACAAAUUUUCCUUGGGAAGAGAGAGUGGUAGAUGCACAAAAGCGAGGGAUGCUAGUCCUACUUUGGAAUUUAGAUCCAUCAUACACCUCCAUGGAAGUAGAGGAUAUAGUUUGGCAUGGCUUGAAGUUGAACUGCACAGCGAAGAUGAUUCAGCGCACUGCAAUUUCUAGCCCUCAUUCUGGUGAAGCAUAUGUAAUAUUCAAAACAAAGGAAGCAGCGGAGAGGGCUUUGAAGAAAUUAGAUGAAGGUUGCUUAUUGCUACCUAAUGGAAGGCCUCUUGUUGGUUGCAUUGGAGAUCGAUCCUUCCCUGGCAAGCAGCGAACUUUUCAUGGCCAUCUUGUCUUUGCUAGCCCCAGGCACCCCCACAAUCGGGAGAAGGAAGCUGCAUCUUCGCACUGUUCACAACCGAACACAGUGGAGUUUGAAUUGGCCAUUGACUGGUUUUUGCUGCAAGAAAGAUGGGACCGUGCAUGGCAAUUACUGUUUAAGCAACAAGGGGAGGAGCUGAGAAAACUCCGAGGCAGUUUGAAGUGUAAAUGAUGCCUGUCCCGUUCAACUUGAGCUAUCAGCAUUUUUAAGCAGGUUAUUUUGGAGUGGUUGCUUUCUUCUAUGGAUCGGAUGAUUUUUGGGUCUGUCAGUUGUUGAUUAGUUGUGCUGCUGAACCGCUGCGAUUUUGGUCACCUGAGGAACCACUUCCAGGAACCACUUCCUUUUUGCCUUGUCAAAAACGAUCUCAGCUUCAGCUGAACUGCUGGGUGACAAUGUCUUCCUGGUUGUUUCUUAAUCUUUGGAGAAGGACAGAGUCAUGAGGAAUCAUCUCCAGUAAUCUUGGCCAUUGGUAGGAUGUAUGAAUUGUUCAUAAGUUUUUUGUGUCACCUCUUUCUUAAGAGAGGAUUGACAAACUCCUAUGACCUCUAGCUGUUUACACCAUGGCAGCAAUGACAUGCUUGCAUGGUAUGCUACUCAAGUCCCAUACUCGACAAGAACAAGUACGCACCAUCAUAUCAACGGCACACUUAGAAUAUGGUGGGCAUGUUACCACAAACUAUGUCAUGUGAAGGUCUCCCAACCACGAUGGAAUCCAACCAUUAGAUUUCUUCCUAUGUUCCUCCAACCUUGCCUGAACUAUACGGGAAAGAAAUUGCACAAAUUACGCUAUAUAUAUAUAUAUCAUGAUUUCACUAUUUUUUCAAAUAUAUCAUAUGCUUUUAAAAUUAUCAAAAAUAUCUCAUGGUUUGCAUUUUUUUUUCUAAAUCUAUCUCACUGUUAUAUCUUCCGUCAACAUUUAACUGUUUGCCACUGUACCCCUUUAUCCGGGAUAGGUUUGAGAAAAAAAUUAAAACUAUGAGAUAAAUUUGGAGCCUACUUACAUUUCAUCAAUAGAAAAUAUAAUAUCGGGAUAGAUUUGGAAAAAAAAUAUAAAUUAUGGGAUAUUUUUAAUAAUUUUAUAAGUAUAGGAUUGCUUUGAAGAAAAUGUAAAACCCUAGAUAUAAAAACCCCCAAAGAAAUCCAUUGUAUCUAGCUAAUAGAGUUUGACAUCUUAUAUUUUUUCUUGUGAUGUACUCUCUCACAUCUUUAACCAAGUUGAGUAUAGGUUUACCUUUGACUUUCAACAGUUCUUUGUUGAACUGCUCACACAUAUUGCUUGUUAGUGCAUCCUUCUUACAGUCAGUAUCAAAAUUUGACCUUAUCCAUCUGCUUGGAUCAAUUUUGCCUAGAUAUUCUGCAGUUGGGUUGAUUCUUCGAAGAGUAUUCAUGCACAGCUUGAACCUUUGUGGGGUUGUUGCUUUGGCACAAUUUCAGAAUGCCUUCCGCAGUUCACCAUCGUUACACUUAGCAUUCUUGCUUAGGUUUGUCUAGAUAUGCCUACUGCAAAAUCUAUGGGGUGCACCAUCAUAUACUUCUUUCAUGGCAGCAUCAAAUCCCGUGCAAUGUUCAAAAACACUUAUUUCAUGACUAGUUUAAAGGAUUUAAGCGAUCCAACAAUAAUACACAAUCACUGCUUAAUGCGUCGCAUAGUGUAUCAUUGAACUCUUCUUUUGCAUGUCAGAGAUGAAAGUAUAUUUCUUUUGUAUUAGAUCUCCCACAUCUGCUAUGAGGUUCACAAGUAAUCAUUUCCAGCUUUCUGUGCACUCCAUUUCCACUACUGCAUAAUGACAAAGAAGAAAUUGUUUUCAUCCUGGCCUAUUGCAAAAAGAAGUUGCCCACCACAGUAACCCUUUAGGAAGCAUCCAUCUGAUCCAAUGAUGGGUCUAUACCCUUCUAUGAAGCAUCUCUUACAUGUUUCUAAGCAAAUGUAUAGCCUCUUAAACUCAUGUGUUUUUUGUUGGACUUGCAAGAGUACAUUCGAACAAGAGUUGAAUCUUAACAGCUCACGUGCAUAAUCUCUCAGCCUUGCAUACUACUUCUUUUUUUCACUUUCACAUUUUUGCUUGGCUAGCUUGGUGGCCCUGAUCAUGCAACUUUACUUGGUAAGUGUGAAUUAAGAAGUCAAAUACUUGUUGUGCAGACAUGUUUAGCCGGAUCCUCAACUUGGGAAUCAACUUCUUUGCAACCCACUCCAUUGUUGCCAACUUCUCGAUUUUUCUUGCACAAGUGUGCUUAAGAACAUAUGUCAUCACUUGAAAUGUGUUUGUCUUCUUGUUCAAACCACGGUAUAUUUUCCAUUAACAGUCAUGAUUGUCCUUCUUCUCAACACAGUAUGCUCUCACUCUCGUCUUCUCAUCUUUCAUAAAAUCAACUUCCCUUCCUAUUGCAAUGUUGAUGUUUCUGACAACCAUCUUGAAGACAUCUAGAUCUUCGAACUCCAUUCCAAUAGUAAUUUUAAUAUAUUUAUUAUCAUCAGCAUUGUACAUUGGAAACUUAUCUUGUUCCUCAUCUGAAUUCUCAUCCAAUGACUCCAAUUCUUAAGUUUAAUACCCAUCAUAUAGCCUGUCAUCCAAUGAAAUCUCCUCAAUAUUGGCACUUACAUUUACUGGUUGACUUUCAGGAGAUGCAUGUAUUGCAUCAUCAUGAUCAUCUGCAAGCAUCUCUUCCCAUUCAGCAUGGGUUGUCAUCUUAAACCUGUCAUUGCUUUUGUAACUUGGUCUCCUAUUUUUUGAGUCAUGCUGAAUUUUCUCUUUAUUCUUUCUCUUCUUCACAACAAUAGACUUCUUUCUAUUUCUGACUUUACUUGCUUCUGCAUUGGCAUUGGCAUUAGCAGAGGCAGAUUCCAUCCCCUCAAGACCAGAUUGACUGGACUGUUCAAACUCCAUAUCAUUAUCUUCCUCAUCUCAGUCCCCUACUUCAAGUCUCAUCCUUUCCAUCUCCUCUUCCCGUUUCCUGUUCUCUGUAGUUUCAUGUUCCAUCCUUUCAAUCUUUUAUUAUUUUCUCUUCAAUUCAACUUCCUACUCCUUUCAUAAUACAAGUAGAGUUCAGUCUGAUGUUGCAAGACACUGAUUAAGUAUCUAGCAUCAAGGUCAGACUCGAAAUGCUUUAUGGCCAAAUCAAAUGUCUGAAAUGUAGGAUCUCGGUAAUUGUAAGAAGUGGGUACAAUUCUAUACACGUGAGGAAGCAACUCAUAGAUCCCUAUAGUUGUGAUUGUAUCUACAUCUACAUUUUUUAUGAUGUGUAUAUCAUCACCCUCAUAACCCAUCUUGGGUUCCCCAACAAACUUCUCUCCAUGAUGAAGAUACACAUCCACUAUCUUCCACAAGUACAAACUAUAGAGAAUAAAUUGAAAUUUGUAAACCCUAAAAAACAACGAUUUUCUUGUGUUUUCAGAAAAA